ACAGGCGGCUUUGAAUUAUUCAUUCAGACUUGUAUCUAAUUAUUUAUUAAUUUUUUUAAGUAUUUGUUCUCACGCCAGUUGACCCGUUUGUUUACUGUUAACUACAAGAAACACAGGACACAUAAUACAUACAAAUAGCAGAGGUGUGGACUCGAGUCUGACUUAAGUCACACAUUUGUGACUUGAGACUUACUUUAUUUACGCUGGUUAACUUAGAAUUGACACUCAUGACUUCAGACUCGACUUAGACUUGAGUAAAAAUGACUUUUUGUGUAACGGAAUAUUUCCACUUUUUUCUAUUUAAAAAAAAAAAAAAACACUAGGUGCCUGCUUUUUGGAGGGCCUUGCGUACAAACCUGGCAACCGAGCGACACCACCAACACCUACGUGAAAUUUCAUUCGAGACUUCAAAUCCCGCAGAGAAAGGUCACAGGGGAGCGCUGGUGCCAAUCCCAGUUGACAUAGAGCGAAUGGCGGAGUACACCAGGUCGCCAGUCCAUCACAGGGCCGCAUAGAGAUAAACAACCAUCUACAGGAGGAAAACAGUUAUCGCGGCUUCCCGUGAUGCAGCAGCCAUUCAAAUUGGAUGAGAGCAUCUGCUGCUUCAUUAAGAAAUUGAGCCAGAGGACGUUCAUUCUGUGAGAGCGGGGGGAGCGACAGACUUUACCUCGCAGAAUUCUCCUUCCGAACAAAGACACUCAAUGGUAAUCUUUUUUUUUUUUUUUUUUUUUUAAACUGUGUCCUUAAGGCCUAACAAACAUAUAAUAUUGUUUUAUCUCAUCAUUUUAUAGUGGUUACAUCCGCUUAUUUCUAUUCACUGGAGGACUGUGUCCAUGCAUGACCAUAUGUGCUGGUAAAACAUACGUAUAAAGUAAUGUUAAUAGACUCGCUCCAACAAUGCUGUUAUGUAAAAAUCUGCCUAAAUCUACAUUUUUCAAGGACGACAUGUUAUCUGUUCUGACAUCGUUGUAAAGGCCUGUCAGCUCACGCCACUAAAGAAAUGCAUGACGUGACGAGGUGGAGGAAAAGGCCGACUCACCUUGUCCAAACUAACCAUCUGUUCAAAGCACCUUGUUUUGAGAGGCAGAGCUGAUUCAUCAUUGGCUGCAAACUGAACCAACUCAUUACUGUAAACUUUUUAAUUUGGGUAAUGUUUAAGUUUAAGAUGGGUACAUAAAAGGUGCAGCUACAAUAUUGAUCCACACUAGAAGCCAAAACCACAACCAGAGCAUAUUAGUCCACUUAGCUGUACCUACACUGGCUCCCUGUAACAUUGAUCGUCUGUUGCUGGUUUAUUGGAGGUUCCCCACAAAAAGUCGAAAAAGAAACUUUGUUACUUACGCCCCUAAAUUUUGGGACACACUACCCUUAGAUAUUAGGGAAGCCAGCUCACUAGAUAUCUUUACACUAGCCUUCAACUAGCUCCUUUUUAUUCCACCCUGUGUUGUGUUUUAUUUGCAUUUUUUUGUAUAUUUUAAAGUCAAAAUGGGGUUUUGACCUAUAGCCUUUUCCUAUUUUAUUCCACCCUGUGUUGUAUUUUACUGUUUUACAGUUAACGCUUAGAACACAGGGUAUUUCAGCUGUUUUUUUUUCCAUUCCUAUGUUUAAACGUACAUUAUAUACAGAGUGUAUAAGAAUGUACAAUAUAGAGUGUCUUAUUUCCUUUUUUUCAGCACAACUUAGGCAAUCUGAUGAAACAAAUAAAUCAUUUAUACCAUCUAUAUAAACACACCUGAGCAAAAAAUACUCAAAAUGUUUAAAAUCCGAUUGAAUUUGUGAAAUUUGGGUCUAUUUUGUGACUUCUGCAUGACUAUUGUUUCUUUAUAUCACUACUAAAAAUGUGAUAUAAAAUGAAUCAUAACUUUAACUCAACAACACAUAAGAAGACAGGAUGUCCAUAUAAGGAGUAUUAUUAUCAUUGGCGCACCUGCGGCACAAAUCCGUGCCACAUGAGCACAGGGUUAAAACAGGGUUUUUUCCUCUUUGACUUUAGACUUUUUCCUUUUCAUUCCACCCUGUGUUGUGUUUUAUUGUUGUAUUUACUUUUAAAAUGUUAUUUUCCUUUUAUUGUGAAGCACUUU